CACGUAGGGUGCGAGCGUUGUCCGGAAUUAUUGGGCGUAAAGAGCUCGUAGGCGGUGUGUCGCGUCGGCCGUGAAAACCUGCAGCUUAACUGUGGGCUUGCGGUCGAUACGGGCAUCACUGGAGUUCGGCAGGGGAGACUGGAAUUCCUGGUGUAGCGGUGAAAUGCGCAGAUAUCAGGAGGAACACCGGUGGCGGAAGGCGGGUCUCUGGGCCGAUACUGACGCUGAGGAGCGAAAGCGUGGGGAGCGAACAGG
rnacentral:rRNA from 1 species